rfam:Triticum aestivum genome assembly, contig: Triticum_aestivum_CS42_TGACv1_scaffold_500031_6BL
UUUAUACUCCCUCCGUCCGGAAAUACUUGUCAAAAAAAUGCAUAAAAAUUGAUGUAUUUAGAACUAAAAUGCGUAUAGAUACAUCUAUUCCUCCAACAAGUAUCUCCGGACGGAGGAAGUAUUAG